UGAGUAACGUGUAAAGAACUUACCAUAUAGACUGGGAUAACAGAGGGAAACUUCUGAUAAUACUGGAUAAGUUAGUAGUAGCAUUACUAAGUAAAUGAAAGGUAGUAAUACGCUAUAUGAGAGCUUUUGCAUCCUAUUAGCUAGUUGGUGGGGUAAAAGCCCUACCAAGGCGAUGAUAGGUAGCCGGCCUGAGAGGGUGGACGGCCACAAGGGGACUGAGAUACGGCCCUUACUCCUACGGGAGGCAGCAGUGGGGAAUAUUGGACAAUGGAGGCAACUCUGAUCCAGCAAUUCUGUGUGUGUGAAGAAGGUUUUAGGACUGUAAAACACUUUUAGUAGGGAAGAAAGAAAUGACGGUACCUACAGAAGAAGCGACGGCUAAAUACGUGCCAGCAGCCGCGGUAAU
rnacentral:rRNA from 1 species